rnacentral:snRNA from 1 species
UAGUGUUAUAGCUCUUUUAGAAUUUGUCUGGCAGGUUUUCUGGCUCUAGCUGGAAAACCUUC